rnacentral:tRNA from 1 species
GGCCUAAUGGUUAGAGAAUUGGACUUUGAAUCCAAAGGUUUCAGGUUCAAGUCCUGU